rnacentral:rRNA from 1 species
AUUGAACGCUGGCGGCAGGCCUAACACAUGCAAGUCGAGCGGAGCGGCGGACGGGUGAGUAAUGCCUAGGAAUCUGCCUGUUAGUGGGGGAUAACGUCCGGAAACGGGCGCUAAUACCGCAUACUAUCAGAUCAGCUUAGGUCGGAUUAGCUAGUUGGUGGGGUAAAGGCCUACCAAGGCGACGAUCCGUAACUGCUCGGAGAGGAUGAUCAGUCAAACUGGAACUGAGACACGGUCCAGACUCAUACGGGAGGCAGCAGUGGGGAAUAUUGGGCAAUGGACGAAAGCCUGAUCCAGCAAUGCCGCGUGUGUGAAGAAGGUCUUCGGAUUGUAAAACACUGUAAGUUGGGAGGCGGUACCAACAGAGUAAGCACCGGCUAACUUCGUGCCAGCAGCCGCGGUAAUAC